rnacentral:rRNA from 1 species
GAUCCUGGCUUAGGAUGAACGCUGGCGGCGUGCCUAACACAUGCAAGUCGAGCGGGAAGCCUCUGAUUGAAACUCGGUAGAUAGAAGAGGUGGAUAGCGGCGGACGGGUGAGUAACGCGUAGGUAAGCUGCCCCACGCACAGGGAUAGCCCGGGGAAACCUGGAUUAAUACCUGAUAACGCAGAGGAGUCACAUGGCUCUUCUGCCAAAGAUUUAUCGGCAUGGGAUGCACCUGCGUCUGAUUAGCCAGUUGGUGAGGUAACGGCCCACCAAAGCAACGAUCAGUAGCCGACCUGAGAGGGUAAUCGGCCACAUUGGAACUGAGACACGGUCCAAACUCCUACGGGAGGCAGCAGUGGGGAAUAUUGCACAAUGGGCGCAAGCCUGAUGCCAGCAACGCCGCGUGAGCGAUGAAGGUCUUCGGAUUGUAAAGCUCUGUCCUUGAGGACGAAAAAUGACGGUACUCUUGGAGGAAGCCCCGGCUAACUACGUGCCAGCCGCGGC